UACGUAGGGGGCAAGCGUUGUCCGGAAUCAUUGGGCGUAAAGCGCGCGUAGGCGGCCCGGUAAGUCCGCUCUGAAAGUCCAGGGCUCAACCCUGGAAAGCGGGUGGAUACUGCCGGGCUAGAAUCCGGAAGAGGCGAGUGGAAUUCCUGGUGUAGCGGUGGAAUGCGCAGAUAUCAGGAGGAACACCUGCGGCGAAGGCGGGUUGCUGGGCCGACACUGACGCUGAGGCGCGAAAGCUAGGGGAGCGAACGGG
rnacentral:rRNA from 1 species